rnacentral:rRNA from 1 species
UACGUAGGGGGCUAGCGUUGUCCGGAAUCAUUGGGCGUAAAGCGCGCGUAGGCGGCCCGGUAAGUCCGUUGUAAAAGUCAAAGGCUCAACCUUUGAAAGCCGAUGGAUACUGCCGGGCUAGAGUCCGGAAGAGGCGAGUGGAAUUCCUGGUGUAGCGGUGGAAUGCGCAGAUAUCAGGAGGAACACCGAUAGCGAAGGCGGGUCUCUGGGCCGAUACUGACGCUGAGGAGCGAAAGCGUGGGGAGCGAACAGG